UACGAAGGGGGCUAGCGUUGCUCGGAAUCACUGGGCGUAAAGGGUGCGUAGGCGGGUCUUUAAGUCAGGGGUGAAAUCCUGGAGCUCAACUCCAGAACUGCCCUUGAUACUGGGAGUCUUGAGUUCGGGAGAGGUGAGUGGAACUGCGAGUGUAGAGGUGAAAUUCGUAGAUAUUCGCAAGAACACCAGUGGCGAAGGCGGCUCACUGGCCCGAUACUGACGCUGAGGUGCGAAAGCGUGGGGAGCAAACAGG
rnacentral:rRNA from 1 species